rnacentral:lncRNA from 1 species
GGAUAUACCCAAUAUAAUCUCUCCAAAAUUAAAACUAUUUUACUUGUCUUUCCAGCUUCCUAAAUGUCACGGAUACUGACACGGAACACUGGACACGACACGACUCAAGACGCCAUGACUCGGCAACUUUCAAAAAUUAGGACACGAACACGUCAUAUGAACACUGCUAAUAAAAUAUAAUAUUAUUAAAAUAUAUAAUAAUAUAUUUUUAUUAUAUAUAAAAUAUUAAUUUUGGUAACAUAUUGUUAGUAAAUUUU